rnacentral:rRNA from 1 species
GAUGAACGCUAGCUACAGGCUUAACACAUGCAAGUCGCGGGGCAGCAUGGGGGUUGCUUGCAAUCCCCGAUGGCGACCGGCGCACGGGUGAGUAACGCGUAUCCAACCUGCCCUUCACCACGGGAUAACCCGGCGAAAGUCGGACUAAUACCGUAUGUUGUCCAUUGACGGCAUCCGAUUUGGACGAAAGGCUUGGCGGUGAGGGAGGGGGAUGCGUCCGAUUAGCCAGACGGCGGGGUAACGGCCCACCGUGGCUACGAUCGGUAGGGGUUCUGAGAGGAAGGUCCCCCACACUGGAACUGAGACACGGUCCAGACUCCUACGGGAGGCAGCAGUGAGGAAUAUUGGUCAAUGGGCGUAAGCCUGAACCAGCCAAGUAGCGUGCAGGAUGACGGCCCUAUGGGUUGUAAACUGCCUUUAUGCGGGGAUAAAGUGGCCCACGUGUGGGCUUUUGCAGGUACCGCAUGAAUAAGGACCGGCUAAUUCCGUG